rnacentral:rRNA from 1 species
ACGUACACUCCUACGGGAGGCAGCAGUGGGGAAUAUUGCACAAUGGGCGCAAGCCUGAUGCAGCGACGCCGCGUGGGGGAUGAAGGCCUUCGGGUUGUAAACUCCUUUCGCUAGGGACGAAGCUUUUUUGUGACGGUACCUAGAUAAGAAGCACCGGCUAACUACGUGCCAGCAGCCGCGGUAAUACGUAGGGUGCGAGCGUUGUCCGGAAUUACUGGGCGUAAAGGGCUCGUAGGUGGUUUGUCGCGUCGUCUGUGAAAUUCUGGGGCUUAACUCCGGGCGUGCAGGCGAUACGGGCAUAACUUGAGUGCUGUAGGGGUAACUGGAAUUCCUGGUGUAGCGGUGAAAUGCGCAGAUAUCAGGAGGAACACCGAUGGCGAAGGCAGGUUACUGGGCAGUUACUGACGCUGAGGAGCGAAAGCAUGGGUAGCGAACAGGAUUAGAUACCCGAGUAGUCCC